rnacentral:rRNA from 1 species
UACGUAGGGGGCAAGCGUUGUCCGGAAUCAUUGGGCGUAAAGCGCGUGUAGGCGGCCCAGUAAGUCUGCUGUGAAAGCCCAGGGCUCAACCCUGGGAUGCCGGUGGAUACUGUUGGGCUCGAGUCCGGAAGAGGCGAGUGGAAUUCCCGGUGUAGCGGUGAAAUGCGCAGAUAUCGGGAGGAACACCAAUGGCGAAGGCAGCUCGCUGGGACGUGACUGACGCUCAGGCGCGAAAGCGUGGGGAGCAAACAGG